rnacentral:lncRNA from 1 species
UUUUUUUUUUUUUUUUUUUUUUUUCCUCCUUUUUUUUUGGUCUCUGUUGGCUGCUCUCGAACGUGAGUAAACGCUGUGCAGGGAGAGAGGAGGGAGAGCCGCAGCAGCGCAGUGCCAUCGCAGAGCCGCAGCUGUGGCGGACGGACAGCUCGCAAAUGAACACUGUCCCAAUGUCAGAGCGGCCGCAGCCCCCACUGCCCCCGUUAGCACCGACCCCCCCGCGGCGGCGGGGCAGCGCCCGGAGCAGGGUAGGCAGGGACAAUGGGCGAGGCACGGGCAGAGAACCGCAAGGUGGAGCUGAAUACAAUGUCUGCAUUUGUGGCUAACUCCAAGCAAUACAUUAUGAAGAUGAUGUUAUUCAGACACACACCCAAACAAUUUGAUUCAGACAAAUUGGAUAUGAGACUUUGACCAGCAUGAGAAGAACAGGCAAGUCCAAAUCCCACCAACACAAGCCCUGCUGGACUAAGAGGCAGCAGCCUGCACGUGAAGCUGAGCAUCACUCUCCUGCCCCAUGCACAGAAUGUUGCAGAUGCCAACACCAAUGGGACGCAAAAUUCUGCCCACAGCACUCCCAUGUGUGCUGAUGAGACAAGAACUGACCAGGAAAGGUCUCAACCAGCUGGUAAAGUGUAUUCCUUCUGCUCCCGUCUACCAACAGCUGUGCUCCUGAGGUCCCCUUUUUUAGAAGCAAGUGAAGAGACCUCAGUAAGAACAGCAGUGUGAUAACAGUUGUGGGGUGAGCUGGGUUUUUCCUAUCAAACCAAAGUCUCUCUCUAACAAUGACAGAACCCCACAGGUCUUCUGGUGGGGAGCACAGCAUCCAAAAUCAUUGCAUGGGUAAAUGAAGACAGCUAAUGCUGUUUGCUGGUUUCAGCUUGAUGUAACCAAUUGCACUGGUCAAGUUAAGCUGCAUGACAGUGUGAAAUACUUAAAUAGCCAUUGUAGUGUUUCUGAGAGGACAGCUGGCUGCAGGUGCUCUGCAAGAUCACAGUGCAGCGUCAUGCUUUCAGAGCUCGCACAAUGGGCAGAGGCUCAGAAAUUUGGGUGGCAUGGAUGACACAGGUUCAGCAUGGCCAACCCCCCGCAGAGCUGCUUUCUGACUGCAGGGGAAGUCAUCUCCCGUGUCGCUUUUGAUUCAGGAGCUGUAUUUGGCCUCUGCGUGGGAGCAGAGCUAAAGGAGGAGCGCGGCAUUGCCUGCAGCAUUCGGCCUUCAGCAGAGCCCCGCGCCAGGCAACUCCUGCACAUCUGUGCUGACAGGGCCGUGACAGGAGGUCCCCAAACCAGCAGCCAUGCUUUCAUGCCUGUGCUGAAAGGAGAUGCACAGCAAGGCAGGCAGGAAGGCUGCACGAGGCAGUGCUGCUGUGCCUCCUGCCUGCACCGUGUCAGCCGGGCUGCGCCGUUCGCCCAUCUUUGCGGGAGCACAUCUGUGCAAUGGAAACCUGCGGGGUUUGCUGCACUCCUACUGACAGUUCAUAUUUUAAUCCUUUUUGUUUUCUCUUUAGGAAACAAUUCUCUGACCUUUUUUUGUGUGAAGUGCAAUGGCGAUAGAUAGCACUGUGCAGCGAGGAGUUCUGAAUGAUGGAAAUGCAGAGAUGUCUGCUGAGGUUUGCAUACUGCUGCCACCACGCAGAGGAGAUCUCAUACUGAAAGUGUGAUCACAGCUGAACCCCCAUAUGGAUUAUUUCAAUGGAAAGUCAAGAAAACAGCUAUUGAUUUCUCUUUCAUGAAUAUAAAGCAGAGAUCUUGUGUAAGAGAAGACAACGUUAAAAUAACCAAGCACCAGAAGGGGCUAAGGGAAAAGCCUGAGGUUAGAGCAGAAAGAAAUGCUUGUAUUCAAAGUUUAUAACCGUUUUGAAAUAAUAAAAACUGUGGUUAAACUAUUUACUUCAAUUAGCUUCAUGGUCAGGAAAACCACCAUCACUUAGAUCCCACUUAUAAAAAUGUGUUCUACACCAUUCUGAAACCCCAGAAGACAAUAAAAAACUGUGGGCUUUCUGAUGUUUGAGUGUGCUGGGAUUAGGUGCAAGUUGCUGGGCGUUCCUAGAAACACUAUUUCAGAACAUUUGAACACUCCAACUUUUGGAUCGGUCCGUGCAGUUGGGCUACGUGUGCGAUAGGGGUGCCUGGCUGUGAUGAGAUGGACUUGUGAUGCUGCUGCCUUCCCUGAGCUUCACCUCCUCCAGCUGAGCAUUGUGGCCCCGGCGAAGUCAACCAAGAGUUUGCCGUAGACUUAAUGGAGCCAGAAUUCCAUCCCAGGAGAGGAACAACUGAAGUAGAGUGCCACGGGCUGGUGGCCUGUAGCAAUCUCAGGUGAUGCAGGAGCGAAAAUGUCCUUGUCACGUAACUGAUGUCCUCAGCCCAAGGUUCCCUGAUUUCACUCUGGAUUUUCUGCUGCGUUUCUGUUCAUUGUUGUUGCAGCUCUGUGGAUAACGUGUUAAGGGGUUGUUCUUAAGAAAGAAAGAUUUAACUUUUUUAAAGGGACGGGUGAUUUGUAGAAGACGUUUGUGUAAUUUUGUAUUCUAAAUGUGAUUUAUUUUUAUAAAUAAAUUUGCAUAAAAUCUCCA